AGUCUGAGCGUUUAGGUCAGAACUACCCCAGUACCCUGACAGCAGGAGCUCGAGAGAAGCAUGGCUCAGCGGUGCGUUUGCGUGCUGGCCCUGGCGGCUGUGCUGCUCCUAGUUUUCCCCACCGUCUCCAGAUCGAUGGGCCUGAGGAGCGCGGAGCAUCAAAGGGCGUCGCGAAUCCCUUCUCAGUUCAGCAAAGAGGAACGCGUCGCGAUGAAAGAGGCGCUGAAAGGUGCCAUCCAGAUUCCAACAGUGACUUUUAGCUCUGAGAAGUCCAAUACUACAGCCCUGGCUGAGUUUGGAAAAUACAUUCAUAAAGUCUUUCCUACAGUGGUCAGCACCAGCUUUAUCCAGCAUGAAGUCGUGGAAGAGUAUAGCCACCUGUUCACUAUCCAAGGCUCGGACCCCAGCUUGCAGCCCUACCUGCUGAUGGCUCACUUUGAUGUGGUGCCUGCCCCUGAAGAAGGCUGGGAGGUGCCCCCAUUCUCUGGGUUGGAGCGUGAUGGCGUCAUCUAUGGUCGGGGCACACUGGACGACAAGAACUCUGUGAUGGCAUUACUGCAGGCCUUGGAGCUCCUGCUGAUCAGGAAUUACAUCCCCCGAAGAUCUUUCUUCAUUUCUCUGGGCCAUGAUGAGGAGUCGUCAGGGACAGGGGCUCAGAAGAUCUCAGCCCUGCUACAGUCAAGGGGCGUCCAGCUAGCCUUCAUUGUGGACGAGGGGGGCUUCAUCUUGGAUGAUUUCAUUCCUAACUUCAAGAAGCCCAUCGCCUUGAUUGCAGUCUCAGAGAAGGGUUCCAUGAACCUCAUGCUGCAAGUAAACAUGACUUCAGGCCACUCUUCAGCUCCUCCAAAGGAGACGAGCAUUGGCAUCCUCGCAGCUGCUGUCAGCCGAUUGGAGCAGACACAAAUGCCUAUCAUAUUUGGAAGCGGGACAUUGGUGACGGUAUUGCAGCAACUGGCAAAUGAGGUUUAUGGAGAGAAAUCCCCUAACCAAUGCAAUAAUCAGGACCACCACGGCACUCACCAUAUUCAAAGCAGGGGUCAAGGUGAAUGUCAUCCCCCCAGUGGCCCAGGCCACAGUCAACUUCCGGAUUCACCCUGGACAGACAGUCCAAGAGGUCCUGGAACUCACGAAGAACAUUGUGGCUGAUAACAGAGUCCAGUUCCACGUGUUGAGUGCCUUUGACCCCCUCCCCGUCAGCCCUUCUGAUGACAAGGCCUUGGGCUACCAGCUGCUCCGCCAGACCGUACAGUCCGUCUUCCCGGAAGUCAAUAUUACUGCCCCAGUUACUUCUAUUGCCAACACAGACAGCCGAUUCUUUACAAACCUCACCACCGGCAUCUACAGGUUCUACCCUGUCUACAUACAUCCUGAAGACAUCAAACGCAUGCAUGGAGUCAACGAGAAAAUCUCAGUCCAAGCCUAUGAGACCCAAGUGAAAUUCAUCUUUGAGUUGAUUCAGAAUGCUGACACAGACUAGGAGCCAGUUUCUCACCUGCACAAACUGUGAGGUCAAGGGGCCUGCUGGGUUAGGCAUGCCCGACCCCGGGAUGGGACUAACCCAAGGGGGAAAGCUAGUGUUGAUGAAACUUUUGAUCAAAACCACAUUGUAAAACAUUACCCAUCUGUCUUACUCACUCUUAAACUCACCCAAGAACAAGGCCGGGGUAAGGUAAAGCCAGCAGAAAUCUGGCUUCUCCCUUCCUCCCUACAUCUGCAUCCCUUGAUCCACUGGCAUUUGCUGCCCUCUUGUCCCUUAUCUGUCUUAUGAUGGUUAUUUCACUGCUUCGCCUUCCAGGCUUGACUUAACAAAUGUAGAUUUGAGAAAUCUCAACCAGGUGUUACCUAAUAGGAGUCUUUAAUUUAGGGCACACCUGCUGGGAUGCUUUCUCCAGAGCUUAUAUAUUUCUUCUUACUAGACCUUUCUUCCCCCUUUUAUUCCCCUCUCUUCUUGGACUCAUGAGCUGUCUCUUCAUCUCUCCUCUCUCCCCUGCAUCUCUUCCCUUACUCUCCAAUUUAUUCUACUUCUGGACCUGGACUUACCCAAACUGUGAUACUACCAUAAUUGCUACCAUAAUCAGUCAAAUAAAGUGAUUGUGCAUC
rnacentral:sRNA from 1 species